rnacentral:misc_RNA from 1 species
AGAGUUAAAUAGUACGUGAAAUUGUUGAAAGGGAAACGAUUAAAGUCAGUCAUGUUGGUAGGGAAUCAACUUGAUAGUAUGCGGGUUUACUCGUGUCCUUUCGGGUGCACUUCCUUACUUGCAGGUUAGCAUCAAUUUCGGUUAUCAUAUAAAAAUUGAGGGAAGGUAGCUUUUCUUCGGAAAAGUGUUAUAGACCUUGAGAAAUGUGGUGACCGGGAUUGAGGAUUGCAGCGGAUACCCAUUUGGGCUAGUCACCUGGCUUCUGAUGGUUGCCCCGUCUUCGAUAGCUUGCUAACGUUAGUGGGACUCGAUUAUCUAGAUGUUGGAGUGAACAUAAAUUCGCUAAGGAUGCUGACGUAAUGGCUUUAAACGA